rnacentral:lncRNA from 1 species
GAGAAAAGUUUGCCUCAUUUAAUCUGUGACACUCUGUAUUAAGCUUUCAUGGUGAUUCACUGGAGCUUAGGGAACAAAGAAGUCAGCCCGUUAGUUUUCACAAUAAUAAGAUGAAGAAAAUUCGCACUUCAUUAUUUGACUUCCUUAUGAUAAUGUUGCAAUGAUCACCUAAGUGGGCUGAAUAAGAAAAAAGAAAAAAAAAAGCAAAAGAAAAAGAAAAAAAGAAGAAGCAAAAGAAAAAGAAAGGAAGAAAAAGAAAGAAAGAAAAAGAAAAAGAUGACAUGCCUGGUACUAACUGGUUGCUCCACAUAUUGAUACAAUCAGCACUGUUGUAAAAAACAGCAUCUGGACACA